rnacentral:SRP_RNA from 1 species
UGUCGGGUCCUACGCAAUAAGACUUCGUGAACCUCGUCAGGUCCUGACGGAAGCAGCGAUAAGCGAAUCAUCUUGUGUGACGUAGACUAGCCCGGCAAUG